AGAGUUUGAUCAUGGCUCAGAACGAACGCUGGCGGCGUGCUUAAUACAUGCAAGUCGAACGUGAAGUGUAGCAAUACGUGGAAAGUGGCGAACGGGUGAGUAACACGUAAGCAAUCUGCCUCUAAGAUUGGGAUAACCCUGCCAACGCGGGGCUAAUACCGGAUGUGGUCCGGAUGACGCAUGUUGUCUGGAUUAAAGGAGUGAUCCGCUUAGAGAUGAGCUUGCGUCCCAUUAGCUAGUUGGUGCGGGUAACGGCCCACCAAGGCUGCGAUGGGUAGCCGGCCUGAGAGGGUGAUCGGCCACAUUGGGACUGAGAUACGGCCCAGACUCCUACGGGAGGCAGCAGUAGGGAAUUUUGCGCAAUGGGCGAAAGCCUGACGCAGCAACGCCGCGUGAGGGAUGACGGCCUUCGGGUUGUAAACCUCUGUUGAGUGGGAAAAAAGGGCAGCAAUACUUUGAUGGUACCAUUCGAGUAAGCACCGGCUAACUACGUGCCAGCAGCCGCGGUAAUACGUAGGGUGCAAGCGUUGUUCGGAAUCACUGGGCGUAAAGGGAGCGUAGGCGGGAUCGUAAGUUAGGAGUUUAAUGCAUGGGCUUAACCCAUGACUUGCUUUUAAUACUGCGGUUCUUGAGUAUGGGAGAGGGCGAUGGAAUUCCAGGUGUAGCGGUGGAAUGCGUAGAUAUCUGGAAGAACACCAGUAGCGAAGGCGGUCGCCUGGCCUAAUACUGACGCUGAGGCUCGAAAGCUAGGGGAGCAAACAGGAUUAGAUACCCUGGUAGUCCUAGCCGUAAACGAUGGACACUAGUUGCUGGAGGAGUCAAUCCUUUCAGUGACCAAGCUAACGCGAUAAGUGUCCCGCCUGGGAAGUACGGUCGCAAGACUGAAACUCAAAGGAAUUGACGG
rnacentral:rRNA from 1 species